UACCAGGACCCCGAGUGGUCGGGACGUUUAUUGGGCCUAAAGCAUCCGUAGCCGGUUCUACAAGUCUUCCGUUAAAUCCAACUGCUUAACAGGUGGGCUGCGGAAGAUACUAUAGAGCUAGGAGGCGGGAGAGGCAAGCGGUACUCGAUGGGUAGGGGUAAAAUCCGUUGAUCCAUUGAAGACCACCAGUGGCGAAGGCGGCUUGCCAGAACGCGCUCGACGGUGAGGGAUGAAAGCUGGGGGAGCAAACCGG
rnacentral:rRNA from 1 species